rnacentral:rRNA from 1 species
UACGAAGGGUGCAAACGUUGCUCGGAAUUACUGGGCGUAAAGCGCGCGUAGGCGGCAUUGCAAGUCGGGUGUGAAAUCCCCAGGCUUAACCUGGGAACUGCAUUCGAGACUGCAUUGCUAGAGUAUGGGAGAGGGAAGUGGAAUUUCCGGUGUAGCGGUGAAAUGCGUAGAUAUCGGAAGGAACAUCAGUGGCGAAAGCGACUUCCUGGACCAAUACUGACGCUCAUGUGCGAAAGCGUGGGGAGCAAACAGG